rnacentral:rRNA from 1 species
UACGGAGGAUCCAAGCGUUAUCCGGAAUCAUUGGGUUUAAAGGGUCCGUAGGCGGGCCUGUAAGUCAGUGGUGAAAUCCUUCGGCUCAACCGGAAAAUUGCCAUUGAUACUGCAGGCCUUGAAUUAUUGGGAAGUAACUAGAAUAUGUAGUGUAGCGGUGAAAUGCUUAGAUAUUACAUGGAAUACCGAUUGCGAAGGCAGGUUACUAUCAAUAUAUUGACGCUGAUGGACGAAAGCGUGGGGAGCGAACAGG